rnacentral:rRNA from 1 species
UACGAAGGGGGCUAGCGUUGCUCGGAAUUACUGGGCGUAAAGCGCACGUAGGCGGCUUUCUAAGUCGGGGGUGAAAUCCUGGAGCUCAACUCCAGAACUGCCUUCGAUACUGGAAAGCUCGAGUCCGGGAGAGGUGAGUGGAACUGCGAGUGUAGAGGUGAAAUUCGUAGAUAUUCGCAAGAACACCAGUGGCGAAGGCGGCUCACUGGCCCGGUACUGACGCUGAGGUGCGAAAGCGUGGGGAGCGAACCGG